GCGGGUGUGCCGGAGCGGUCAAACGGGCAGGACUUAAGAUCCUGUGGCUUAGUGCCUGCAGAGGUUCAAUUCCUCUCACCCGCA
rnacentral:tRNA from 1 species